rnacentral:lncRNA from 1 species
CUGCUAUAGUGUUAUGUGAGCCUAGUACCUAGAUCUGUAUUCGUUUGGCUGUGCCCGACGCUGUUAGCCGACCAGCCACCUCAGCAUGGCGAUUCUAUCUCUAUUCUUCCAAGAAACGACAAAGCUCUUUCUUUCCCACUCGACAUGUCUUCUACCCGAGCAUGGCGCGAGCUGUAGACUCGCGUUUCUAUCAAGAGAAAGACUUUCCAUAGCAACGGAUAAGUAGCUAGUGAUGGGUCGUUCUGCGAUGAAUUUACGUUUAGUUAGCCAAAAAAAAUGUGUCAAUGCACUAUUUUUCACGCAUGAACCUAUACAUAAACUCACGUAACUCAAAGUAACAACAAAACGUAUUCAUCGAACUUAUUUUUUAUCUGUGGAACUAAAAUGGUUCAUGUUCAUCGAUAUAUAUGUACUACGUACUAGAUAGAACGUUCCGAACAAAAAGCUUACCACACUGAACUGCACUGCAGAAUAUGCAGUGCCCAAAAUGGCAAAUCAGAGCGAUUUUGACACCUGCGUCAGAUGGAUGUCUAUGAAACGACAAUUAUAAAAUAGAAAAUACAUAUCAAGGUAUAAACUUACACAUAUAAACUAUUCGAGAGUCAAGUUAGUAAAAUUACACGCUGUUCAUGCUAUUACAACGCUUGUAUAUCAUACUUUUCAUUUAUAAUUCAAUUUUACAAAUAUGCAUUAAUUUGUUCCCGCCCGCCAUCUUAAAUUAUGGAUUAAGAAAAUCGUGCAGAAACAGAUGUGCCAUAAAACUGGCAGUAGGUAAAAUAUCAAUGAAAACAGACUUCACUUUGUCAUGGUAUGUUCUUACUUUCAAGAAAAAAUAAUUAAAUUCGCGAAAAUUUGUGAUAGCCCUCUUAAGAAAAAAAACAUCGUAAUUAAUAUUAAAAACUCUAAAAAUAAGUGCCUGGUUUUAAUAUAUUACAUGAUUUUGCAUUCAAUUAGAUAUAAAUAAACUUUUUGAUAUAUUACAUGAUUUUGAAUUCACUUUUUGAGUAAUGAAAAAUGUAGGCAAAAUACGAGCGACACUUCAGCAAUUAACAUCAAUGAGGAUGACUACAUGUCACAAAACGUCAACGAGAUGUCAACAGACGACAUAAGCGGGUAAAUUAUUUGUAUGGAUGUUCUUGUCUAUCGCUAGAAUAUAUGUCAAUGUUCAUGUUUGUUUGUUUACAAAAAACGAUUAUUGUUGUUGAUUUUACGUAUCUAAAUAUGGUUGAUUACUGCGUGCGGCAAGGAAAAACGUACGAAGUCCCAUCCAAUAAACAGAGAAGAUAGUAUCCCGAUCCAUUGGGAAAAGAAGGCCACGAUAAAGAAGAAUAGGUCCGUAUUCAAAAGCUGCUGAAAAAAUAUGGAAAAGAACGAGUUCUUGGCAUACAAUGCUGACACGAGAAACAUUCUAUUA